AGAUCGGUGGUGUAGUGGUAGCACAUUGCGCCCCGACGUGAAGGAGAGUGGUUCGAUUCCCUUCUGGUCCC
rnacentral:tRNA from 1 species